rnacentral:tRNA from 1 species
GGGUAGGUUCCAGAGCGGUCAAAUGGGCGUGGCUGUAAACCACGUGGCCUUUGCGCCUUCGGGGGUUCGAAUCCCUCCCUACCCACAA